rnacentral:rRNA from 7 species
GCGACCCCAGGUCAGGCGGGGCUACCCGCUGAAUUUAAGCAUAUCAAUAAGCGGA